rnacentral:snRNA from 1 species
GUACUUACGUAGGCAGCACAUAUUCUAAAGUUGGAGCAAUACAGAGAUUAGCAUGGCCCCCACAUAAGGAUGACACACAAGUUCUUGAAGCAUUCUAUAUUUUU